rnacentral:tRNA from 1 species
AGUGCUGUCGGGUGGUCAGUAUUCGGCGUCCUGCGCGGGCGUCAGGCCGGUGGUGUGGCCGGGCGGCGGUUCGAUACCGUGCGGUCCCA